GUAAAGAGCUCGUAGGUGGUUUGUCGCGUCGUCUGUGAAAUCCCGGGGCUUAACUUCGGGCGUGCAGGCGAUACGGGCAUAACUAGAGUGCUGUAGGGGAGACUGGAAUUCCUGGUGUAGCGGUGAAAUGCGCAGAUAUCAGGAGGAACACCGAUGGCGAAGGCAGGUCUCUGGGCAGUUACUGACGCUGAGGAGCGAAAGCAUGGGUAGCGAACAGGAUUAGAUACCCUGGUAGUCCAUGCCGUAAACGGUGGGCGCUAGGUGUGGGGGUUUUAUUUACGAUUCCCGUGCCGUAGCUAACGCAUUAAGCGCCCCGCCUGGGGAGUACGGCCGCAAGGCUAAAACUCAAAGGAAUUGACGGGGGCCCGCACAAGCGGCGGAGCAUGUGGAUUAAUUCGAUGCAACGCGAAGAACCUUACCUGGGCUUGACAUACACCGGAUCGCUGCAGAGAUGUAGUUUCCCUUGUGGCUGGUGUACAGGUGGUGCAUGGUUGUCGUCAGCUCGUGUCGUGAGAUGUUGGGUUAAGUCCCGCAACGAGCGCAACCCUUGUCUUGUGUUGCCAGCACGUUAUGGUGGGGACUCGCGAGAGACUGCCGGGGUUAACUCGGAGGAAGGUGGGGAUGACGUCAAAUCAUCAUGCCCCUUAUGUCCAGGGCUUCACAUAUGCUACAAUGGUCGGUACAGUGGGUUGCGAUACCGUGAGGUGGAGCUAAUCCCUUAAAGCCGGUCUCAGUUCGGAUUGGAGUCUGCGACUCGACUCCAUGAAGUCGGAGUCGCUAGUAAUCGCA
rnacentral:rRNA from 1 species